AGAUGCCUUCACUAGAGGUGGGCUCAAGUUCGGCAGUGUCAGAAGUUACAAACUCGGAAACACAAAGGAAUCAGUUACCAGAUGAUCACAACGACAAAAACAUUGAAAACUGGAGUACUGGAACCUUAGACAAGCUGAGGACAUGGCAGCUAGCGAAGGUCGUAUGUCCUAGAGAUGUAAGUUUCAAGGAUAAAUGCAGCAUCGUUAUGGAUAGACUUAAGUUGCUCUAACACUUUAUGGUUUUCAUAAAAGUAAACAUAGUUGAUAGCUUUAGCACAGUCAAGCAGUUCCCUUUCUCAACAGUGUUGGGGUUUAAGGUUUAACUAUCCCGUUCUCCUCCUACCUUAGACUUCUUUGCAUAUAAGGAAUAAAUAGAAACUUAUUAGUGUGUGCCUGUAGUAGUUCUUGCAAUCUUGUACUUCUUGUCUGAAGUCUGAAACUUUGGAAAUGGCAAGUUUUUAUGGUUAUUUUGAA